rnacentral:tRNA from 1 species
UGGCUCAGACAGUAAAGCAUCUGCCUGCAAUGCAGGAGACCCAGGUUUGAUCCCUGG